rnacentral:rRNA from 1 species
UGCAAGUCGAGCGAACAGACGAGGAGCUUGCUCCUCUGACGUUAGCGGCGGACGGGUGAGUAACACGUGGAUAACCUACCUAUAAGACUGGGAUAACUUCGGGAAACCGGAGCUAAUACCGGAUAAUAUAUUGAACCGCAUGGUUCAAUAGUGAAAGACGGUUUUGCUGUCACUUAUAGAUGGAUCCGCGCCGCAUUAGCUAGUUGGUAAGGUAACGGCUUACCAAGGCAACGAUGCGUAGCCGACCUGAGAGGGUGAUCGGCCACACUGGAACUGAGACACGGUCCAGACUCCUACGGGAGGCAGCAGUAGGGAAUCUUCCGCAAUGGGCGAAAGCCUGACGGAGCAACGCCGCGUGAGUGAUGAAGGUCUUCGGAUCGUAAAACUCUGUUAUUAGGGAAGAACAAAUGUGUAAGUAACUAUGCACGUCUUGACGGUACCUAAUCAGAAAGCCACGGCUAACUACGUGCCAGCAGCCGCGGUAAUACGUAGGUGGCAAGCGUUAUCCGGAAUUAUUGGGCGUAAAGCGCGCGUAGGCGGUUUUUUAAGUCUGAUGUGAAAGCCCACGGCUCAACCGUGGAGGGUCAUUGGAAACUGGAAAACUUGAGUGCAGAAGAGGAAAGUGGAAUUCCAUGUGUAGCGGUGAAAUGCGCAGAGAUAUGGAGGAACACCAGUGGCGAAGGCGACUUUCUGGUCUGUAACUGACGCUGAUGUGCGAAAGCGUGGGGAUCAAACAGGAUUAGAUACCCUGGUAGUCCACGCCGUAAACGAUGAGUGCUAAGUGUUAGGGGGUUUCCGCCCCUUAGUGCUGCAGCUAACGCAUUAAGCACUCCGCCUGGGGAGUACGACCGCAAGGUUGAAACUC